UAACUCUGCUCUGAUUGGUCGAGCCUGAGACUGGAUUGACUCUCAAUCAUGCAGAUCACAAUCACCUGAAUGAUGAAUGUGUUUGUGUCUAUAAAUUGCUUGCUCUGCUGUGUGAUGGUGGUUUGACUCCUGCCUGACGAAGAUCUCUGGAUCCUGUAGGAAGGAUGAUUCCUGAUGGAGCGAUGCAGCACAGGUUACCAUGGCGAUCCACCCAAGUAAAGGUCUUGGUAAGGUCCCCUCAUCAUGCCACUGCUGGAAGCUACUUCUGUUGCGCAAGGAGAUAACAGGUCCAGCUCCCCGGGAGCCCCACAGGCUCUCACCAGGCUGUGCAGAAAAUCCACAAUUAACUGCGGGCAGAGGCAGAUGAGCGCAGAAAUACAUGCACAGAAAAGAGGGAUAUAGAACUUGGCCCACUCAUCAAGCUCUGCCCCGAAGGAUUAUACUUUCACCAGCUCACCCAGACUUUCUGGCCUUGGUGGAGGACUUGCUGCGGUGUUUGUCAUUCAGUGAGCACUGGGUUGUUCUCUUCAUUUGAACUUCAAAUGAUUCAAGUUGGACAAACUAAUCCUUUUUUUUUUACUGUACUUUAAUCUACUGCCCACCUGGAUCAUUUUUAACUGAAUUCUAUGAUCUUUUGUCUCCAUCUUUAAACUUCAUAGACUUGACCUUGCUGGUGUUUUUUUCAUAUUCAUAAUAUUACUGACAGUUCCACCUCUUGUAUUAUCAAUAUUAUAGAGUCUUUUAAUCUCACUCAAAUCGGGGAAGGAUAUGUUGUGACUGACAAGACAAGCGAAUGCAGGUUUUUGCAUCAUCAUUUCCAGUCUCCCAUUGUGGAGGCAACCCCAGAGUUUUCAAACUAAAACUAUGUACCCAUAACUUUAUGUUUUUGAGUUGUUUGGACACCAGGCAUAAACAUGGCAACAGCAAUGCUUAUUAAAACAAAAAAAUGUAACACUGAGGGUGUCCCAGAGGAAAAGAAAAUAAGAGAGGAGCUCUCAAAAAUUUUUCAUUUAUUUGUCCUAGACAUCUUUGAGGCCUGUGUGAAACCAGGAUGAGACUGUGGAUUAUUUCUCCUGUCUCUCAGUUUUUUCUCCAGAACAGAAAGAUGGACAAAGUCUCAAAUUAGCCUCCUUUUAAGUUUCAAGAGAGAUCUCAUCAAGCUCUAAAACGAUUCUCAGAUUUCCACAACUUUUGCGCCUCUGCUAGAUCUAAGGCAGAGAAAUAAGAGAGCUCUCUCUAUGAGCUCAAUCUAUUCUCAUCCCAGUCUUGUGUUAAAGUCAAUUCAUGCAUCUCCAGCUGAGCUCAGACAGAGCAAAUAAAGAGCUCUCCUCAAGCACUCACUGUAUUCUCAUCCAGACUUAAAUUAAUGU